ACUCCUGCGGGAGGCAGCAGUGGGGAAUUUUGGACAAUGGGCGAAAGCCUGAUCCAGCAAUGCCGCGUGAGUGAAGAAGGCCUUCGGGUUGUAAAGCUCUUUUGUCAGGGAAGAAACGGUGAGAGCUAAUAUCUUUUGCUAAUGACGGUACCUGAAGAAUAAGCACCGGCUAACUACGUGCCAGCAGCCGCGGUAAUACGUAGGGUGCAAGCGUUAAUCGGAAUUACUGGGCGUAAAGCGUGCGCAGGCGGUUUUGUAAGUCUGAUGUGAAAUCCCCGGGCUCAACCUGGGAAUUGCAUUGGAGACUGCAAGGCUAGAAUCUGGCAGAGGGGGGUAGAAUUCCACGUGUAGCAGUGAAAUGCGUAGAUAUGUGGAGGAACACCGAUGGCGAAGGCAGCCCCCUGGGUCAAGAUUGACGCUCAUGCACGAAAGCGUGGGGAGCAAACAGGAUUAGAAACCCGUGUAGCCCA
rnacentral:rRNA from 1 species